rnacentral:rRNA from 1 species
UGGGGAAUAUUGGACAAUGGGCGAAAGCCUGAUCCAGCCAUGCCGCGUGAGUGAUGAAGGCCCUAGGGUUGUAAAGCUCUUUCAGUGGGGAAGAUAAUGACGGUACCCACACAAGAAGCCCCGGCUAACUUCGUGCCAGCAGCCGCGGUAAUACGAAGGGGGCUAGCGUUGUUCGGAAUUACUGGGCGUAAAGCGCACGUAGGCGGAUUGUUAAGUGAGGGGUGAAAUCCCAGGGCUCAACCCUGGAACUGCCUUUCAUACUGGCAAUCUGGAGUUCGAGAGAGGUGAGUGGAAUUCCGAGUGUAGAGGUGAAAUUCGUAGAUAUUCGGAGGAACACCAGUGGCGAAGGCGGCUCACUGGCUCGAUACUGACGCUGAGGUGCGAAAGCGUGGGGAGCAAACAGGAUUAGAUACCCCCGUAGUCC